rnacentral:lncRNA from 1 species
ACUUCCGGGAAAGGCCCUGGGAUGUAGUGGCAACACCUGUCUCGGCGUCAGGAGGUCCGGCUUUCCCUCUGACGUAGCCUCCGACAAGUCCUUUGGGUUUUCUGGGCCUUUCGUGUCCUUCUCCGGAAAAGGAGGCUGACUGCUCCCGAUUCUCGAGUCCGGCUGAGGUCUAGCCGAGCCUCCUCGUUGAGGAACGUGGGUCGACGUGGAGCGCAGGCCCCAGGCCGCCAAGAUGGCGGCAGCUGUUGCCGCGCAGGUGAAAUGCCCGGAUGGAGGAACAGCGGGAGCCCCCUGCAGGCUAAGAUGCAAGAUUUCACCCCCAGAGACCCUGGUGGAGCGCCUCAAAGAGGUUGCUGCUGGUAUUACAGCAGGACCUGAGCGAAGCCAGCCAGGAUGAUCAAAGAGCCCUUCAUAGUGGCUCAAAGGUAAUUUGGGGAGCUGGAGAGGAAGACGUUUGAAGUGUUCAUGUUUCCUUUGUUUUCCAUUCCACCCCCUUGCAGGGGCCCUGGUGAUGCUCCUCUCUGUGCAGCAAGUGCGUCUCCUCUGGCCCAUUCUCCACGGGAGUCUGGGUAGCGUGCCAGUCCUCGGGACGGAUGGCGGCCAACACGGCCUCGCCACCCCGUAUCUACAGAGGCUGUUUCUCCCCUUUGCUUGUGAGCGUUCCUUUCUCUGCCUCUUUAGCUGUUGAUUUACUUUUGUUCUGUUUUGCUGCGCUCUCCUUGGUGCUUCUGCCUUCUGCCGUCUCCCCGGAUGGCGUCCCGUGCUCCUCCUCUCCCUUCAUCUUCCUUCCGCAUCCUCUUUGCUGCCGCACUGCGUUCGCUGCCUUAUUUGCUUCCUUUCCUUUCAUGGUCUUGUGUUUGAUGCUCCUCUUUGCCUCCUUUCCUCGCUCUGAUUCUGGCUCCUAAUAUCUUGAAAGAGCGUUUGAUAACGUGUGCCUGACCCUGCCUGACCUCGGGUGAGUGAGUCUCCCCAGGCAGCUUUUGAUGUGGUCUGUGUGUGAUUGACGAAAGCUGCUCAAUUUGCUCUUCAAAGCUCUGUUUACGGAGAGUUUGGAGGCAUCUCCUCGGGAUUUCCUCUUCUUCUCUCCAGAAACACGUCUAAAGGAUAGGACGAAACCACACCCCUUGUCAAGUGUUCAUCGUCCGCCUGGAUCCCGGAUUCCGGAUCCCGGAUCCCAGAUCCCGUAAUGCUCGCGAGAGCAGGAUCCCACUGUCCCGCCCACCUUUUCUUCUUGAACCGUCGUUAUCCCUUGAGUCCUCACGGCAGAGCUUUUCAUCCACCAGGAAAGUUCACUUUGAAUACAACGCGUUUGCCCCCCAAAGAAACACUUAGAUUUGGACACCGAGUUAUAAAAUAGAGGACAAAUGCCGUCAGUGUUACUACCAGAAUCUAAGCACAUUAAGUGUCCUGCCUACGUAGAAUAUGGUCAAGAGCCAUAAGCGAAACAAUUGUCUCCAGCUUUGCAUUCUAGAAAGAGCAGUAGGUCGCGUUCUUCCCGAUACUGAUUACUCUGGAUCCCCAAAGCACAUGAGACGAUGAGGUGUAUUUUUCAUAGGGUUCAGGUUUCUUGCAGUGCUGUUUCUGUUUUUCAACCCAGGAAGAGGAUUCUCCCACCUGCCUCAGAAGGCUUACACAUUCAGCUGCUUAAGGAAAGAGGGAUGAGCAAAAUGUUAGUAGGAGACAUCCAGCUGGUAGAUGCUCUGAUUCUGAGAAUCUAAUACUUUAGGUGCGAUGAAUACAGUGCAUUAGAAAGAUCACUGAGUUUUGUGCUAGAAUACCUGUGUUUACAUGUAGAUUUGGACAAUUAUUAGUUGAAUGACCAUCAGUAAAAUUUUAAUUUUUUCCCAGUCUUUUUUAAACAGUUUUGUAUGUGUGUGUAUGUGUUUUUUUGGUUUUGUUUUGUCUUUUUCAGGGCCGCACCCAUGGCAUAAUGGAGAUUCCCAGGCUAGGGUUCGAAUUGGAGCUGUAGCCACUGGCCUAUACUACAGUAAUAGCAACGCCAGAUCCGAGCUGCAUCUGCGACCUACACCACAGCUCACAGCAACACCGGGUCCUUGACCCACCAGAGCGAGGCCAGGGAUUGAACCUGCGUCCGCAUGGUUACUAGUCAGAUUGGUUUCUGCUGAGCCACAAUAGGAACUCCUAAACAGCUUUUUGAGGAAUAGUUUAUAUACCAUAAAAAGUCAGCCACUGUAAGUGUACAGCUCAGUGAUUUUUAGUAAAUUUGUGAAGCCGUCACCACAAGGAAAUUUUAUAACAUUUUUGUUAAAUCUUUUAACCUCUCUCCAUUUUUUCCCCCUUCAUCUUAACACGGCACUCACACGGUGCCUUGAUCACAAACGCGGCCGCAAUCCUAAUCCUUCCGUGCUUUGCGUCAUGACUUUGUUGCUGCUUUUCCACUGAGAGGUAGGACUGCUCUCCCCAGGCCUCGGGUCUGGGGCUGGCCUUGUGACCGACUCUGACAAAAAGUCAAAGUGUGGCUGCAGCGAAGGUGCACCCCGUUCUGAGCCUAAACCUCAGAUGGCUCUGCAUGUGCUUCUGCUUGCUCUUUUGGAGCCCUGCCGUCUUCACCACGGGUAGAAGGUUGGGCCAGCGGGCUGGGAAAUGAAAAAUCAUGCAGGGAGAGGCCCCACCUCCACUUAGGCCAUCUCAGAUCAGCCUCCCCCAGCUGCCCUCCCCCUAACCACCCCAGAGACUGGCCCAGUGCAGCCAGCCAGGACUAGCAGCUCUGGCAAGCCACCCUGGGGACCCAUAAGAUGUGCUAGAAGGAAGGUGAGUGAAGCUACUGAGCUUUAGGGUAUUGUGAUUUCUAAUAAGAAUAUGUAUUGGGUCUUAGACCCAUUCCUGGUGCAGAGCUCCUAAAACCACUGGAAUUUCCCAAGUAUAAAGAGCUACAAAGGUGUCUCUUGUUAUGUUAAUAAAGUGACUUUUGCAAAGCCAGAAGGAUGUGGGCUGAUUGACAGUGGAGCCAACCACAGAUUAGAGGGUUGGACCUUUCAGUCCCACCCCCUGACCUCUGGGGAGGAGGGUGGGCCAGAGGUUGAACCAGUUGCUAAUGGCCAAUGAUUCAAUCAAAAGGAUAGGGUUCAGAAGGCUUCCAGUUGGUGAACACUUGGCAUUGUGGGGGAGAGGCGCUCCUGGAGAGGGCAUGGGAGUCUGCCCCCCUUUCCCGUGCCUUGCCUUAGGCAUCUCUUCCCUCUGGCUAUGCCUGAAUUAUAGCCUUUUAUAAUAAACUAGUGAAAAAAAAAAAAAAGAAAUGAAGAGAGUAUUGAAAAGAAAAAAAAAAUCCACUGUGAAUGGAACGUUGAAUAUAAAAAAAAUAAAAAGUAAAAAAUAAACUAGUGGUCUAGCAAGCAAAAUGUUUCUCUGAGUUCUGUGAGCUACUUUGGCAAGUUAAUUAAAACCCAAGGAGGGGGUGGCGGGAACCUUUGGUUUGUAGCCAGGCCGUCAGAAGUAUAGGCAACAACCUGAGCUUGUGAUGGACGUCUCAAGUGGGGAGCAGUCUGGUGGGACUGAGCACUCUUGUGGGAGGCGAUGCUGUCUCCAGGUAGAGAGUGUCAUCAGUGCGUUGAAUUGGGGGACACCCAGCUGGUGCUGAGAGUUGCUUGGUUGGUGUGGGAAACCCCGCACACAUUGGAAUUGGAGUCAGAUUUUUAGGGUGGUUUGUGGUGAUAAGUAACUGAUAGGUGGUCAUGAGCAUCAGCUUUUGGGGGGUGUCUUUUUUGGGGGGCUGUACCCAUAGCACAUGGAGGUUCCCAGGCUCAGAGUUGAAUUGUAGUUGCAGCUGCUGGCGUAUGCCACAGCCAGAGCAAUGCCAGAUCCCAGCCAUGUCUGACCUACACCACAGCUCAUGGCAACGCCAGAUCCUUAACCCACUGAGUGAGGCCAGGGAUUGAACCUGCAUUCGCAUGGACACUAGUCAGCCAUUCAUUACUUCUCAGCCACAACAGGAACUCUGAGAAUCAAUUUUUUAAAAGCUAUGAAAACAUCUAUCCCUCUGCCUAUUACGUUGGAGGCUCUCACUAAAUUAAGAACAAUAAUUUAACAAAUAUUUACAGAGGCCCUUGCAUGUGAAAAGGGGUAUGUUGGGUGUUGUGAGGGAUGCAGAAUUGAAAAUAGACAUGAUGCAAACCUCUGGGGAGUCAGUUCCAGUGAGAAGAACAGACACCCAAGCAGCUAUAGUGUAGGACUUUUUCUCUACGAUAACAUUUAUGCCUAAGUGGUUUCUCCACUGUCUGCAAAUAACCACGUUCUCCUUUUCUUGGUAUUUCACAUUGUUUGAAAAUGUGUUCAGGGGAUAUGGUUUAUUAAAAAAAUCCCCAAACAGCACAUGGACCAAAAUUAGGUUUUAUUGGUGUGUCCAAGACAUGUUUGCAUUUAUAGGAAACAGUCUCUGUGGAAGCUCGGCCACGUGAAUUGUUUUAUGCAGCUAAAGAACUCGAAAAGCAGACAGGAAGUCAGAGCCAGGAUGGGGAGGAGAAUGGAAAAAGUCUUAAUUUCGGAAAUGACCAGGAGUUUUCAUUCUGAGAGUAGAACCCUGCCCUGGGCAGAUGGCUUUUGCUUACCUCUGAAAUAUCCUUGAGGUUUGGAGGGCUGGGAUCCGAGUGGAGAGGGCAGGAGGAAGGAGCUGGGGUUGGCAGACAGGGUCUUUGCAACCCAGGAUCUGGUGACUGGUUGGGCUCAAGUGGAUUCUCUGAAUCCAUACUCCCCAGGCAGCAGGCAGUUGGGUAGUCUGACAGCACAGAGAGUGCCGUACAAAGAGCCCUGUCUUGGGAGCCGGGGCCCCAGUUCUGGUGCUAACUCUGACCCAAAAGAACCUUUGCUGUGUGCCCAAGCACGAGUUACUUUCCUUUGCUGGGGGUUGACCCAGGAGAUUCUAAAGUCCCUUCCAGGUCAAAGAGGCUGAACUUCAGGUCUAAUCCAGCCCCUAAGUUGAAGGAGGAGCUUCAAAUCAGAACCAACCAAGACAGAUGGAAAGGCCUCUGACAACAUGCAUGGACCUUUGGAACGGAGGCUGUUCAGAAAGUCCGAAUGGAGGUCAGCGGGUAACUCCUGGAAGCUGGGAUGAUGAAAGUGGCACUUUCCGCGCUCGUUGGGGCCUUUUUUCGAUGGUGACUGUCUCUCUUCAGGGAUAACUGGGCAAUGUGGUGGGGAGACACAAUCCUUGUCACCUCUUCCAAAAGACCCAAGGACAUGAUACAGGGAAGGAAGCUGCAGAUGUGUCUGCCCGUGUCUGAACCACCAGGAAGUGACCUCUCUCUCUUGCUGUGAAGAAGGGAUUCCCGACUUCAAGCCUUCAAACUGGGUUCACUGCAGCCGCGCUGUCCACUGCGAAGUGGUUUGGCUUCCCACCGGGAGAGGGCCUCUGAGAGGCUGGAGGUUCCUGUCUCCCCUGAGUAGAGUGGCAGGAAGGGGGGGCAGGGGGGCGCACAAGUGAGGCUGUGGACUGGCAGGUGUGAGGGAUGCAAGACCACUGCCAGGCUGGGCCCCUGCCAGAGAAGCCUCGGCAUCAACUGUGAAACGUGAUUACAUUCGGAUCCUGUUUCACACCCCCCCGCCCCCCCCCCGAAAGAAAACAGUGCAGACAGCGUCCUUCCGGUCACCGUCCUUUUCUCAUGACCUCAUCCUCCUGUUUGCACCUUCCUCUGUCUUCUUUUAACUCCAUCCACUCCCAUCUCCAGGACCAUUGGAUCUAAGCUCGGGCCCUCACCACCCAUUGCCCAAACGUAGGGGCAUAAAACAACCGUUAUGUUCUGCUCGUGGAUGCCGUGGGCCAGGGGUUCACACGGGCGGGAAUGGCUUAGCUCUGCUCCGCAGGGUCCGAAGCCUCAGCUGGGAGGACUCAGAGGCUGGGGGCUGGGAUCCUCGGGGGCUCAUCCAGUCACAAGGCCGACCUGUGAUCCUGGCGGGGCGCCGGGACCUCCGUGUGGCUGCCCGCAGAACACACGCACGUGGCCGCUCCACAUCCUUGAGCCUCCUCACACCACGGCAGCCUCAGGCCCGUCUCACACAGUGGCUCAGGGUUCAAGGCUCAGAGGGCAAGGGGUCCAGCAAGCGUGGUGGCAGCUGCAAAGCCUCUUUCCACCUGCCUUUGGAUGCCACAGAGCACCCCUUCUGCCACAUUCAUGUGCUGCAUGCAGGUCAGAAGCCCGUGCAGCUUCAGGGGGAGGGAUGUCAACUCACCUCGCCUCGAGAAGACGCCAAGCAUUUUCAGGGGUGUUUUAAAACCUCCGCAGAAGCUCCUGUCGCCAAAUCCAGACCAGGCCCCGCCGACACUCUCCAUCGCUUUCCCUGAAGAAGCUCCGUCCUCCUCACUGCCGGGACCCUGGGAUACUCGGGGGGUUACCGUAGGGGAGGUGCUCAAGUGGUUCCUGGCCGUCUGGCCAUGGGCAGGCUUAAGAGUGGCAGGGCCUCCUUCCCUUUGCUUUCCCCCAGGCCUGGACCCCUCCCUCCCCUCCCCCUGCCACCUCGCCCUCACACCCAGGUUCCGCUUGGACCACCAUUUCGUGGGUCGCUGAGAGUGGUUCGGCACCUUCUUGUGUGUCCGUGAUGAGUGAGCUGCGCGAUCGUGAUUCAUGCCGGGUUCAGCACGACUCCCUUUCCCUGGCAGGACCUGCACGCCAAGCCCUUGCCUCAGCGACGCUCUGACGGGAACCAUUUCUCCCUCAUGGGGUGGCUUGGGGGAGAGGCUCUCACGCACGUUCUGGAAGCCUUGGCCUGUGGUGCCUCGCGCAGAGCCUGGCACUGGCACUUGCUCAAUUGAUGACUGUUGAGUCAGUUAACCCUGACUCGCGUGGGCACUGGCUGACUCACAGGGUUUGAUUCAGCCUUGAUUCACCAGAGGAUCUGGGAGGAUUUGACGGGUGGCGAGCCCUGCAUGUUCCCAGAGGGAGGAGUGUGCGGGGUUCAUGUGAUGGUGUGUUUUGGGGGGACUGGAGGCACGUGGGGAUGGUCCUGGGGCCAGGCCACAGCACCUGCUGCCAGGCCAUUUCCCUGCCCUCCACUAAGCUGCCCUGCUUCCUUAGCUCCUCUCUGGGGAACUUCUGGACCCCUCAAGCAAAUCCUCCAAGUGUCUGGCCACUUGUCAAGUUUCCAGGAGGCACCGAUCACUGCUGUUUCCUCUUUUCUUCCCCCAAAGUUUGCAGAUAAAUCCUCAGAAGCUCUCUGGGCAAAAGCCUGACAUCAGCCCUUGAAGGACUGGAGUCAAAGGUAGGAGGUCUGGGCUUAUAGGGAGAACUAAUAGGAGUAACUAAUGUGCUAAUCAUUCAAUCCAGCUCGAGAUGCUGGACUCCCAGGAAACUCUCAGGAAUGAUCUGCUGUUUCUCAUUUAAGGCAAAGCAAAAAGCAAAGAUUUCCAGGCUUCCUUGCAGGAAAAGGAGCUACAGGUUGGGACCAUACAUCCCUGGGGAAAGGGGCUGCAAACUGACUGGGGGAGUCUGCAGCGCUCUGAAAUGAACUGGCUGCUUUGCCUUUCCUUUCCGUCAUCCCUGUGCAGCCUCUGUGCAUGCACUCGCUGAGCCUCGGUGUCAGCACUAGGGUGUCGGCCGCUACGUAUGUUGCCUCCUCAUCGGAACAACAUCUCAGUGGGUGAGAGAUUGUUAGCUCCAAUCUACCACUGAGAAAUUGGAGGCCCAGAGGAGUAAAUUGCCCAGAAUGCACUGCAGAUAAGUGGAUGAACCAGAUCAUGUGUUCAUUCAAUGAACAUCCUAGACUAUACGUUAAUAUGGAAAGAAAAAAAGAUAAGAUGAACUGGUUCUAGUUGACAAGAAAUCCAAAAUCUAGGAGAGGAAGAUGGCAAUUAUACAGUAUGGUAGAUGCAAUGACAGAGCUAUACGUAGAGCACUAGGCUAAGCACCAUGAGGACAUCUAUGCGGACUGGGAAGCUCUGGGAAGCCUUCCUGGAGGAGGUGAUAUUUGAGCUGAGUGUUAAGAAUAAGCAGGAUUUUGCUCAGUGAAUGAAUAAAGGCUGUGGGGUGGGGCAAGGCACUUCAGAAAGAGUAGGCAGCACAAUCAGCAUUAAAAAACAGCAAGAUGGGAGUUCCUGUUGUGGCGCAGCGGAAGAGAAUCCUACUAGAAACCAUGAGGUUGUGGGUUCGAUCCCUGUCCUUGCUCAGUGGGUUAAGGAUAUGGUGUUGCUGUGAGCUGUGGUGUAGGCCACAGAUGUGGCUCAGAUCCCGUGCUGCUGUGGAUGUGGUGUAGGCUGGUGGCUACAGCUCCGAUUUGACCCCUAGCCUGGGAACCUCCCUAUGUUGCAGGUGUGGCCCUAAAAAGCAAAAAAAGAAAGAAAAAAGAAAAAAA